rnacentral:rRNA from 1 species
GUGCCAGCAGCCGCGGUAAUACGGAGGGUGCAAGCGUUGCUCGGAAUCAUUGGGCGUAAAGCGUACGCAGGCGGCUCCUUAAGUCGGGUGUGAAAGCCCAGGGCUCAACCCUGGAACUGCGCCCGAAACUGAGGAGCUUGAGUGCGGGAGAGGGAAGCGGAAUUCCUGGUGUAGAGGUGAAAUUCGUAGAUAUCAGGAGGAACACCGGUGGCGAAAGCGGCUUCCUGGCCCGACACUGACGCUCAUGUACGAAAGCGUGGGGAGCAAACAGGAUUAGAUACCCGAGUAGUCC